rfam:Schistosoma margrebowiei strain Zambia genome assembly, scaffold: SMRZ_contig0007189
AUCCAGCUGACGAGUCACAAAUAGAACGAGACGCUCGUCCUGGAU